UCCCUUCGGGGACAAAGUGACAGGUGGUGCAUGGUUGUCGUCAGCUCGUGUCGUGAGAUGUUGGGUUAAGUCCCGCAACGAGCGCAACCCUUGAUUUUAGUUGCCAGCAUUUAGUUGGGCACUCUAAAGUGACUGCCGGUGCAAGCCGGAGGAAGGUGGGGAUGACGUCAAAUCAUCAUGCCCCUUAUGACCUGGGCUACACACGUGCUACAAUGGAUAGUACAAAGGGUCGCGAAGCCGCGAGGUGGAGCUAAUCCCAUAAAACUAUUCUCAGUUCGGAUUGUAGGCUGCAACUCGCCUACAUGAAGCCGGAAUCGCUAGUAAUCGUGGAUCAGCAUGCCACGGUGAAUACGUUCCCGGGCCUUGUACACACCGCCCGUCACACCACGAGAGUUUGUAACACCCGAAGUCGGUAGGGUAACCUUUAUGGAGCCAGCCGCCGAAGGUGGGACAGAUAAUUGGGGUGAAGUCGUAACAAGGUAGCCGUAUCGGAAGGUGCGGCUGGAUCACCUCCUUUCUAAGGAA
rnacentral:rRNA from 1 species